AUUGAACGCUGGCGGCAGGCCUAACACAUGCAAGUCGAGCGGAUGAAGGGAGCUUGCUCCUGGAUUCAGCGGCGGACGGGUGAGUAAUGCCUAGGAAUCUGCCUGGUAGUGGGGGAUAACGUCCGGAAACGGGCGCUAAUACCGCAUACGUCCUGAGGGAGAAAGUGGGGGAUCUUCGGACCUCACGCUAUCAGAUGAGCCUACGUCGGAUUAGCUAGUUGGUGGGGUAAAGGCCUACCAAGGCGACGAUCCGUAACUGGUCUGAGAGGAUGAUCAGUCACACUGGAAGUGAGACACGGUCCAGACUCCUACGGGAGGCAGAAGUGGGAAUAUUGGACAAUGGGCGAAAGCCUGAUCCAGCCAUGCCGCGUGUGUGAAGAAGGUCUUCGGAUUGUAAAGCACUUUAAGUUGGGAGGAAGGGCAGUAAGUUAAUACCUUGCUGUUUUGACGUUACCAACAGAAUAAGCACCGGCUAACUUCGUG
rnacentral:rRNA from 1 species